CCUACGGGGGGCAGCAGUGAGGAAUAUUGGUCAAUGGACGCAAGUCUGAACCAGCCAUGCCGCGUGCAGGAAGACGGCUCUAUGAGUUGUAAACUGCUUUUGUACGAGGGUAAACGCAGAUACGCGUAUCUGUCUGAAAGUAUCGUACGAAUAAGGAUCGGCUAACUCCGUGCCAGCAGCCGCGGUAAUACGGAGGCUUCAAGCGUUAUCCGGAUUUAUUGGGUUUAAAGGGUGCGUAGGCGGUCGGAUAAGUUAGAGGUGAAAUCCGGAGGCUCAACUUCGGAAUGGCAGUUGAGACUGUGCGGCUAGAGAGUAGUCGAGGUAGGCGGAA
rnacentral:rRNA from 1 species